AAACUGCUUCACUUCUGAGAGACCAGGGCCCAUUCCAGUAGCUUCAGGGAUAAUGUCCAUGACCCAAACUUGGAGGAGGACAAGUGAAUGUAUUUUAUAAAGGAGAAGGCUGUGAAGCCAAGGCAGAGAAGGACAUGAGACUGGACAGGCUUCAGGGGUCUGAACCAACUCCAGCCCAGCUGUCAUCUGUGGGAAGUGGCUUUUGGCUGACCAGUGGUACUUCCCAGUGUCAGCACGUGAUUUGUGUCAGCAGCUCAGACCCUGUGCUGAGGGGACCCUGUCCUCAGCCAUCCUUCAUCUUGGGAAAACUCUCUGGUGUAAAAAGCAGGGCCUCAUUGCCUUGCUGAAGUGCCCGCUCUGAAUGAAGAAAAACUGGGUCCUGCAGUCUGUCCACAGGAAGAAGACUGUAUGUGAGCGCAGUCUCCGUGUUCACUGUGCCUCAUGCCAUCCCUGAUAACAGGGAGGAAAUGAAUGGUCCUUUAAAAAUCCUGAUUGGCUAAAGAGCUGGUGGUUUAAAUGAAUGCAUCUAAUUGCAAACUGUGAAGGGCUGGUCCUGGUAUUUAAAAGAUGGAUGAUUCUGUGAAGGGAAUGUGCUAAGACUUGUUUGUUGAAAAUGGGAUUAUUAAUGGCUUGUCAGUAAAGUUAAGAAUGCCUUAAAUCAUCCCUCUCUUACUCUAUUUAUAGAAAGAAUAAAACAGAUGAAUUUAUAAAGG
rnacentral:lncRNA from 1 species